rnacentral:rRNA from 1 species
UACGAAGGGGGCUAGCGUUGCUCGGAAUCACUGGGCGUAAAGCGUGCGCAGGCGGUUUUGUAAGUCUGUCGUGAAAUCCCCGGGCUCAACCUGGGAAUUGCGAUGGAGACUGCAAGGCUAGAAUCUGGCAGAGGGGGGUAGAAUUCCACGUGUAGCAGUGAAAUGCGUAGAGAUGUGGAGGAACACCGAUGGCGAAGGCAGCCCCCUGGGUCAAGAUUGACGCUCAUGCACGAAAGCGUGGGGAGCAACAGG